UAAGGUUGCUCCGGGCUCACGUCGAACGCUGGCGGCGUGCCUAAUACAUGCAAUCCUUCCGAGCGGUUCUAACACAUUUACUUCGGUUAUGACAUUCCGAAAGCGAGCCGGGGAGGGUGGACUAAGACCUGGGAAACCUGCCCCGUAGCCUGGGAUACCACUUGGAAACAGGUGCUCAUACCGGAGAAGAAAGCAGAUCGACUGAUCAGCUUUUAAAAGGCGGCUUAAGCUGUCCCUAUGGGAUGGCCCCGCUCUGUUCUCGCUAGUCGGCAAGGUGAAGGCUUACCAAGGCCAUGAUGCAUAGGGGAGUGGAGACACUGAUCGGUCACAUUGGGACUGAGACACGGCCCCAACUCCUACAGUAGGCAGCCCAACGGAAUCUUCCACACUGGACGCAAGGGUGAUGGAGCAACG
rnacentral:rRNA from 1 species